rnacentral:pre_miRNA from 1 species
UGUUAAAAGUUUUAUCUAUUUAGACUGUUAAAAAUUGGAGUAACUGACAAAAUAACCAAAUAGAAAAAUGUGACAUGUCACUUAUACUUCAUGCUAACGUAUAGAGAUCAAUUUUUAUUAAUAACAAUAGAUGAAAUUUUUUAUA